CUGUUCCCAUCCCUGUCCAUCCUCGCGCUCCUCUUCUCCUCGGCUUUGGCGCUUACCGCUGAAGACGCGGCAACCAUCGCCCGUCGCCAACUGCUCACCUUUGAGAGGCAUGCCGACUACGUCCACAUCGACAUAGACAUCACUAUCAAGAUCAGCAACCCUCGCCUCCGUACGACACACACGGCCUUGCAGGCGCUCAAGCAUGCGCUCUACUCGGACCCCAAGAACUUCACCAGGAAUUGGGUUGGGCCUGACUGCACCUACAAUGGUGUCCUCUGUGUUCCGGCGCCAAACGAUCCGUCUGCGAGCGUUGCGGCAUUGGUGGACAUGAAUGGGGUGGACGUCGAACGGCACCUGCCCAGGGAGAUUGGACUCAUGAUCGAUCUCGUCGUGCUCCACCUCAACUCCAACCGCUUCUGCGGCAUCAUCCCAGAGGAGGUCAAGAACAUGACCCAACUCAAUGAGUUCGACGCUAGCAACAACCGCUUUGUCGGUCCAUUCCCCGAUGUGGUGAUGCGCGUCCCAAAGCUCAGCGGCCUCGACAUUCGAUUCAAUGACUUUGAAGGGCCCAUCCCACCGGAGCUCUUCCUGAAACCUUAUGAUGCCAUCUUCCUCAAUAACAAUCGAUUCACCUCUGGCAUCCCGGACACUAUCGGCAAGUCCAAGGCUUCUGUGAUCGUGCUUGCUAACAACGAGCUCGGCGGGUGCAUUCCUCAGACCAUUGAUGAGGCCGCCGCCACACUCGACCAGUUCAUCUUCAUCAACAACAGCAUCACCGGUUGCCUACCGGUGGAGGCAGGGCUUAUCAGCACCACGACAGUUUUCGAUGUCAGUGGCAAUGCACUCACAGGGUCUAUCCCGAGGACAUUGUCCGGCCUGUUCAAGGUCGAGCAGCUUGAUCUGUCGCAUAACAAGUUUAUCGGGGAGGUGUCCAAAGAUGUGUGUGAGUUGUCGGCUUUGGCAAACAUGUAUGUUUCUUACAACUUCUUCACGAAGGAAGACACCAAGUGC
rnacentral:rRNA from 1 species